rnacentral:rRNA from 1 species
CCCUUAGAUGUUCUGGGCGGCCCGCGCACUACAAUGGCGUGUGUAGCGAGUGCCGAAGUAGAGUUUUCCGAGGUAUUCUUGCAGUGCUCGUUUUGAUGGGGAUAGACCCUUGCAACUGUUGGUUUUGAACGAGGAAUUCCUUGUAAGCAUGGUUUAUCAUCCGACGCUGAAUGCGUCCCUGCCCUUUGUACACACCGCCCGUCGCUCCUACCGAUGAGUCGUCCGGUGAAGUUCGUAGACCUCGUGAUCGCGGAUCACUGGGGGAAGCAAAAUGAACCUCGCGGUUUAGAGGAAGGAGAAGUCGUAACA